GCCUGGUGACCCUGGAAAUCCAGAGCGGGUGAGGCCUGUCUGACUGUUUCUAGGCGACCCACUCUUGGUUUCCAUGGUUGCCCUGG
rnacentral:pre_miRNA from 9 species